UAUGUAAUACUUUCCGUCCGGAAAUACUUGUCGUCAAAAUGGAUAGAAGGGGAUGUAUUUAGACGUAUUUUAGUUCUAAGUACAUCUCUUUUUAUUCCUCUUGAUGACAAGUAUUUCGACGGAGGGAUUACCAA
rfam:Triticum aestivum genome assembly, contig: Triticum_aestivum_CS42_TGACv1_scaffold_130498_2BL